UACGAAGGGGGCUAGCGUUGUUCGGAUUUACUGGGCGUAAAGCGCACGUAGGCGGAUUGGUCAGUUAGGGGUGAAAUCCUGGAGCUCAACUCCAGAACUGCCUUUAAUACUGCCAAUCUCGAGUCCGGAAGAGGUAAGUGGAACUCCUAGUGUAGAGGUGGAAUUCGUAGAUAUUAGGAAGAACACCAGUGGCGAAGGCGGCGACCUGGUCCGAUACUGACGCUGAGGUGCGAAAGCGUGGGGAGCAAACAGG
rnacentral:rRNA from 1 species